GAUGAAGAACGUAGCGAAAUGCGAUACGUAGUGUGAAUUGCAGAAUUCAGUGAAUCAUCGAAUCUUUGAACGCACAUUGCACCUCUCGGUAUUCCGGGAGGUAUGCCUGUUCGGGCGUCAUUUGUACCCUCAAGCUCUGCUUGGUGUUGGGUGUUUGUUCCGCCUCUGUGUGUGAACUCGCCUCAAAACAAUUGGCAGCCGGCGUACUUGUUUCGGAGCGCAGCACAUUUUGCGAUCCAGAUCAACGUACAGCGGCAUCCAAGAAGCCUUAUUUAACGCUCUUGACCUCGGAUCAGGUAGGGAUACCCGCUGAACUUAAGCAUAUCAAUAAGCGGAGGA
rnacentral:misc_RNA from 1 species